AGAGUUUGAUCCUGGCUCAGGAUGAACGCUGGCGGCGUGCCUAAUACAUGCAAGUCGAGCGAACAGAUGAGAAGCUUGCUUCUCUGAUGUUAGCGGCGGACGGGUGAGUAACACGUGGGUAACCUACCUAUAAGACUGGGAUAACUCCGGGAAACCGGGGCUAAUACCGGAUAAUAUAUUGAACCGCAUGGUUCAAUGUUGAAAGACGGUUUCGGCUGUCACUUAUAGAUGGACCCGCGCCGUAUUAGCUAGUUGGUAAGGUAACGGCUUACCAAGGCAACGAUACGUAGCCGACCUGAGAGGGUGAUCGGCCACACUGGAACUGAGACACGGUCCAGACUCCUACGGGAGGCAGCAGUAGGGAAUCUUCCGCAAUGGGCGAAAGCCUGACGGAGCAACGCCGCGUGAGUGAUGAAGGUCUUAGGAUCGUAAAACUCUGUUGUUAGGGAAGAACAAAUUUGUUAGUAACUGAACAAGUCUUGACGGUACCUAACCAGAAAGCCACGGCUAACUACGUGCCAGCAGCCGCGGUAAUACGUAGGUGGCAAGCGUUAUCCGGAAUUAUUGGGCGUAAAGCGCGCGUAGGCGGUUUCUUAAGUCUGAUGUGAAAGCCCACGGCUCAACCGUGGAGGGUCAUUGGAAACUGGGGAACUUGAGUGCAGAAGAGGAGAGUGGAAUUCCAUGUGUAGCGGUGAAAUGCGCAGAGAUAUGGAGGAACACCAGUGGCGAAGGCGGCUCUCUGGUCUGUAACUGACGCUGAUGUGCGAAAGCGUGGGGAUCAAACAGGAUUAGAUACCCUGGUAGUCC
rnacentral:rRNA from 1 species